AAGAGCUCAGAUGUUGUGGUGGAAAGAGUACCAGAUUCAGAAUCAUCCUUAACAGAAAUCGAUACCUGGGUCACUAUAAAGGAGACUUGCUUUCAACACUGGUCAUCUCACCAGGGAGAGCCUGUCAGAGUGGAAAAUGUUAAUUUGAUGGGACAAGACAACGUGGCUCUGAAAAACAAAAGAAAAAAUGUUGUUAAUGGCAUUGAACUCUACAGGGAGUAAAGACUGAAUUA
rnacentral:lncRNA from 1 species